rnacentral:siRNA from 1 species
GAGGGCACGUCUGCCUGGG